CAGUAGCCACGGUAAAACGUAGGUGGCAAGCGUUGUCCGGAAUUAUUGGGCGUAAAGGGCCCGCAGGCGGUUUCUUAAGUCUGAUGUGAAAGCCCCCGGCUCAACCGGGGAGGGUCAUUGGAAACUGGGAAACUUGAGUGCAGAAGAGGAGAGUGGAAUUCCACGUGUAGCGGUGAAAUGCGUAGAGAUGUGGAGGAACACCAGUGGCGAAGGCGACUCUCUGGUCUGUAACUGACGCUGAGGAGCGAAAGCGUGGGGAGCGAACAGGAUUAGAUACCCCAGUAGUCCCUGUCUCUUAUAC
rnacentral:rRNA from 1 species